GACGAACGCUGGCGGCGUGCUUAACACAUGCAAGUCGAACGGAAAGGCCCUGCUUUUGCGGGGUGCUCGAGUGGCGAACGGGUGAGUAACACGUGAGUAACCUGCCCUUGACUUUGGGAUAACUUCAGGAAACUGGGGCUAAUACCGGAUAGGAGCUCCUGCUGCAUGGUGGGGGUUGGAAAGUUUCGGCGGUUGGGGAUGGACUCGCGGCUUAUCAGCUUGUUGGUGGGGUAGUGGCUUACCAAGGCUUUGACGGGUAGCCGGCCUGAGAGGGUGACCGGCCACAUUGGGACUGAGAUACGGCCCAGACUCCUACGGGAGGCAGCAGUGGGGAAUAUUGCACAAUGGGCGGAAGCCUGAUGCAGCUACGCCGCGUGCGGGAUGACGGCCUUCGGGUUGUAAACCGCUUUCGCCUGUGGCGAAGCGUGAGUGACGGUAAUGGGUAAAGAAGCACCGGCUAACUACGUG
rnacentral:rRNA from 1 species